rnacentral:rRNA from 1 species
GACGAACGCUGGCGGCGUGCUUAACACAUGCAAGUCGAACGGAAAGGCCCUGCUUUUGUGGGGUGCUCGAGUGGCGAACGGGUGAGUAACACGUGAGUAACCUGCCCUUGAUUUUGGGAUAACUUCAGGAAACUGGGGCUAAUACCGGAUAGGAGCUCCUGCUGCAUGGUGGGGGUUGGAAAGUUUCGGCGGUUGGGGAUGGACUCGCGGCUUAUCAGCUUGUUGGUGGGGUAGUGGCUUACCAAGGCUUUGACGGGUAGCCGGCCUGAGAGGGUGACCGGCCACAUUGGGACUGAGAUGCGGCCCAGACUCCUACGGGAGGCAGCAGUGGGGAAUAUUGCACAAUGGGCGGAAGCCUGAUGCAGCAACGCCGCGUGCGGGAUGACGGCCGUCGGGUUGUAAACCGCUUUCGCCUGUGACGAAGCGUGAGUGACGGUAAUGGGUAAAGAAGCACCGGCUAACUACGUG